CCUACGGGAGGCAGCAGUGAGGAAUAUUGGUCAAUGGACGAGAGUCUGAACCAGCCAAGUAGCGUGAAGGAUGACUGCCCUAUGGGUUGUAAACUUCUUUUAUAUGGGAAUAAAAUGUUCCACGUGUGGGGUUUUGUAUGUACCAUAUGAAUAAGGAUCGGCUAACUCCGUGCCAGUAGCCGCGGUAAUACGGAGGAUCCGAGCGUUAUCCGGAUUUAUUGGGUUUAAAGGGAGCGUAGGUGGAUUGUUAAGUCAGUUGUGAAAGUGUGCGGCUCAACCGUAAAAUUGCAGUGGAAACUGGCAGUCUUGAGUACAGUAGAGGUGGGCGGAAUUCGUGGUGUAGCGGUGAAAUGCUUAGAUAUCACGAAGAACUCCGAUUGCGAAGGCAGUUCACGGGACUGCAACUGACACUGAGGCUCGAAAGUGUGGGUAUCAAACAGGAUUAGAUACCCGUGUAGUC
rnacentral:rRNA from 1 species